rnacentral:tRNA from 1 species
GUGAACUUAGUUUAAGUAAAAUACUUACCUUGCAAGUAAGUGAUUCGGCUCGAUUCGCCGAAGUUCACA